rnacentral:lncRNA from 1 species
CGGCUUUUUUAGGUCACAAGACUGCGCCAGCGCGCGCGACCCUUGAGAAAAAUAACCCGGUGGCACCGCCGUCGGGUUGAAAACGGACAACGUGGGCAAAACUGGGGACCCGGCAGAGAUUGAGAGGGAGCACGUGUUUUGUUAACCCUAGCGGCUCCGGCAGGGGACUGGGAAAAUAUACUGGUUUUGUGCCGGGGACAGAUAAUUGUUUCCCGGUCCGCCCAAGGAUUCGAUGGCGGAGCGAUACAGGCAUCGGCGGAGGCCGCUGCAGGCGGGAGCUAGGCCGCCGCGGGUCGAAAACGUGCGCGGGAGGGGACCAGGGCGCAUGCGCGGCAGCGAGGGGGGGCGCGAGCGGCCCGCGUUGGCUUCCGUGGGGGGAGGGGCGGCGAGGCGAGGCGCGGCCCGGCGGCUGUGCACGCGCUCUGCUGGGCACGUGGGGCCCCUUCGUCCCCGGCGUCCGGGCGCCUGGUCCCAGCCCCCACCUUGGCCUCCGUCCGGCGGCUGCGUCCGCGACGCAGAGAGACUCGAGCGAGAGUCACCCGCCCCGGCGAGUGCCGCUCGGGCUAGUGGCGUUAGGAACGGGGGCCGCUGGAAUGGCGUCCACUUACAUAAUGCUUUGUUUGCACUUGGUCGGCUCCGGUUAGGGAAGCCCUCGGAGGCGCUACCUCCUGCCCUCGUGUUUUAUGUCCCACGAUAGUUCCCGAGACCUUAGAGGAGCGGUGCGCACUGACGGCGUGCCGGCAUGGCCCCCCGCAUGUCCGCGCUGGCUCGCCCGCCGCCUGGACCACGCUUUCGGGAGGCGGCCAAGCCUGGGCGCCGCCGCCAUCUUGGGAGGUCGCCCUGACCGAGGCCUCCCGCCGGGAAAUGGCCCUCGAGACGCUGGAGAGCGCCUUGUGCUUUCUUUGCCGGCUCCUCGUGCCGCCGCCAUAGUCAGCCUGGAGGAGGUCGUGUGAAGGAACGUGUUGUUUAAUACUUGGCCGAAAGGACCAGCGUGGCGUUCCUCACCCCACCGCCACCCCACCCCCGAGCGGGGAGGGCUGGCGGCCAUGUUUCCCAACAAAAUGGCGACACGUGUCGCCAUCGAAAAAUUGGGCCGGGUCUGAAAGCUCUAGAAUGUGCCUUUCAUCAGUCUCAGAAUUUCCCAUAGGAUGAAACAGCAAGAGGUGCUUUUGGAAGAAAGUUAAUUCCCUUGGUGGGCAGGAGAAUAAAUAAAAUGCAGGCCUGACACGGGAUUUUUAAAAAACUGAGUAAUGGCAGGCAGGUGUGUGCCUGUGUGUGUGCGUGCGCGCGUGUGUGCACAGUAUGUAACCAAGUACCCAAGCAUCUAGAAAAAAUUUCUAGUUUUUUUCUAGAUGUUGUACAGGUGGUGCUGUAACUGAUUUAAGAUUGUUAUGCCUAAUAAGCCAUAGAAUGGCAAUGUCUCACUAUUCAACUGUCCAGUGAUCCUAAAGUUCACAGUUAUGUCCACUUUUCCACCUUUACAGUCAAGAGGAACAGAUUGUGGGUGUGGGUGUGCCACAGCAGAUUCCAUUCUAAACAUUUUAUCCCAUGCAAUAUAUAUUUUUUUUAAUUGAAAAUUCCAUGAAGUGGGUAUUUAUUUCUCUUUCUUUUCCCCAACAGAGCAAGACAAUCCCAGAGAGAUGAAUGAAGUGAAUGACCCAAGGUUACACAGGAUGGAACCUAUAUCUUCUGAUUUCUCUACUGGCCUGCACUCCACGUUCUGAGGAGGAGUCCUUGAAGCUACUGAGAUAAUGGAACAAUGGAGUAGAUAGUCCAUUAUAACUCAUCUGGGAUUCUUCUCAACUUCAAGUGACCACAGGUGGAAACAUGGUCUGGUAACACCACGCUUCCGGAUGUGAUUGUGGAGCUGGAUUGCUUAACCUGGGCUAAGUCAUUUAUCUUCCUGUGUCCCUCAGUUCUUCAUGGGCUGCAGAAGUGUUAAGAGUGCCUGCUUGUCUUCGAGAGGACCAGAGAUCAAUUCCCAGCAUCCAUCCCUGGAAGCUACAGGGAAUUCAACACUCUUCCUGACUUCCUCAAACACCUGCACACAUAUGGCUUAUAGACACACAGGGAAAGAAGUAAAGGAAAUCUUAAAAACA